rnacentral:rRNA from 1 species
GACGGAGGAGGCUAGCGUUGUUCGGAAUUACUGGGCGUAAAGCGCACGUAGGCGGUUGCGUAAGUCGGGGGUGAAAGCCCGGGGCUUAACCUCGGAAAUGCCUUCGAGACUGCGCGGCUUGAGACUGGAAGAGGAGAGCGGAAUUCCCAGUGUAGAGGUGAAAUUCGUAGAUAUUGGGAAGAACACCGGUGGCGAAGGCGGCUCUCUGGUCCAGUUCUGACGCUGAGGUGCGAAAGCGUGGGGAGCAAAC